rnacentral:miRNA from 2 species
CUAUACAAUCUACUACCUCA